rnacentral:tRNA from 1 species
UAAAAGGUGGCUGAGGCUAUAAGCACUAGAUUGUAAAUCUAUUUACGAGAAUACUCUCCCUUUUAA